GAAUGAAUUAAAUUGUAUAUUUUUUAGGCCCUGCGAUGGACUGGCGAGCUGUCCAGGGUGUCUCUGCCUUCGCCAUGAGUCGGCUGGGAGAGGCUCCAGCCGAUCAAGCAGAGUGUAGAAGAUGGAUGGAUGGAUGGAUGGAUGGAUGGAUGGAUGGAUGGAUGGAUGGAUGGAUGGAUGGAUGUUGUGUGGUUCCAACUGAACUCUGUCCUUGCCAGUGGGACUCGGGUCAGGGUGCCUUUCAGAGGUGUGGGUGGAUCUGGGGGGGAUAAACACCCUCACAGUGAAGCUCCGCUCUGGCUAAAGGUGAGAAGGAUGCAGACAGCAUGUCAUGGAGAAGUAACAUGUGUGUCUGCAUCCCAUCCUGGACCCACAGUGGAGUUCCACAGUGACAAGGACCAGAGUUCAGGGGAAUCACACUGGGAGGGGGGAGGAAGAUUUCACGGGCCGCCGCACAAUGGUGGCCCGUGACAAGGUAAGUUUUAGGUUUACGUUUGAUAUUUAUCAUACAAGAAGUUUUUAAAUCUCCAAACAGGAGGUGAUACAUUUUCUGCAAGAUUCUCACACGUUUUCCUGUUGUUGUUUUUUUCAGCCCCAGCUUCUGAUGGCCCCAGGACUCAAAACUGAAAGAAGGACAAGAAGAAGACCCAAAGAUGAGACCCAGCUCCAGCAGACCCGUGAAGACGAGGAACCGACCCACCAGAGACGACCCUAGAGAGGCCAACCAGCCUGCAAUGAGAUGACGGGACAACUUCAUAAGGAGCAGAAUGCACUGCUGCUUCCUGGUCACCAAAUGAUUCCAACAGGGAUGGAUCAUCGAGGAGAAAUAAGCCAUUUUGAAGAAAAGAUGAUGGGAAACAUGUCCAGGACCAGUGCAUGAGACGUGAGACCAUUCAACUAAUACAAGAGCUCUCUCUCCAAGACACCCGCUAAAAUGUAGGAUCAGAUCAAGACAAGAAACUGGAUAAGGAGCAGCCCCAGCAUUUGAACUCAGACUAGGGAAGAGGGGAUGCUGCUUAUAGUGACGCAAAAGGAGGAAGUCGGAGUACAAAGAGAAAACCCCACACAGUCACAGAGACAACAUGGACGGAAAGAACCAGACGACCAGCAGAAGACAAAGAAACAGUUCGAGGAGCCUCAGGACGAUCGACAACAGAAGAAACGUGUCCGAGAACAGGAAGAAGAUGACCAACAGCAUCAAACAGAGAAGAAGAAGAAGAAACAGACCCCGGAAGAAGAAGAAAAAGAAGAAGAAGAGAAGCUCCAGAUUACUCCAAAGGUAUCUCUGGAUGUGGAGCUACGCAUUUAGAUCUGCUGUUCAUGUUCUCUCCCUCCUCUGUACCCUCAUCCCAAAUGGAGGUUUUUUUUCAACUUCCCGGCAACGGGAAGUUUUUUUCCUCCAUAAUGCUACCAAAUGUUGAUCUGAUCAAACAGCAAUAAGAGAACCUUCAAUAAAAAGUCAAAACAAAA
ensembl:lncRNA